rnacentral:lncRNA from 1 species
UUAUUCAGAUCAUCUAAAACCAAAACCCCACUUCCUUUAGGCAAUCUUGGAUGGCCUUUUCUUGGUGAAACCCUCGAGUUCGUUUCUUGUGCUUAUUCAGACCGCCCUGAAAGCUUCAUGGAUAAACGUCGCCGCAUGUAAGUAUUCAUCAAUCCAUAUAUACAUAUAUAUAUAUACACAAACAACAUGUUAUAUAUCAAUAAUACAUGAUACAGCAACUUAUGUUUGUCAAUUAUUUGUUGUGUCAUAAACUAAUCCAAGAUUAAGAUAUAUAUUAGUUAGUAUGUAUACAUCAGACAGUUUUGUUUAUUAAUUAGCAAGUAGUAUCUGAACUACAUAACCUACAAAACAAAGGGUAAAAGGAAAGCUCUUGAAGUCAUCAUUUCUUUAACUUCCAGGGUCUUUCAGAAAUUAACUAUGCUGCUAAGAAAUUUAAAGAUGAAGAGAUGUUAAAUUUUUAUUUUUAUUUUUUAUUUUUUUUUAAUUGUAUAUAGGUAUGGGAAAGUGUUCAAGUCACAUAUAUUUGGAACUCCGACUAUAGUAUCAACAGAUGCAGAAGUGAGUAAAUUCAUACUACAAGGUGAUGCAAAGAUGUUUGUUCCAUCUUACCCGAAAUCACUUACCGAGUUGAUGGGAAAAUCCUCCAUUUUGCUCAUCAAUGGAAGUUUACAGAAGAGAAUACAUGGUCUGAUAGGAUCUUUCUUCAAGUCUCCUCAUCUUAAAGCGCAGAUCACUAGAGACAUGCA